rnacentral:tmRNA from 3 species
GGGGCUGAUUCUGGAUUCGACGGGAUUUGCGAAACCCAAGGUGCAUGCCGAGGGGCGGUUGGCCUCGUAAAAAGCCGCAAAAAAAUAGUCGCAAACGACGAAAAAUACGCUUUAGCAGCUUAAUAACCUGCUUAGAGCCCUCUCUCCCUAGCCUCCGCUCUUAGGACGGGGAUCAAGAGAGGUCAAACCCAAAAGAGAUCGCGUGGAUGCCCUGCCUGGGGUUGAAGCGUUAAAACGAAUCAGGCUAGUCUGGUAGUGGCGUGUCCGUCCGCAGGUGCCAGGCGAAUGUAAAGACUGACUAAGCAUGUAGUACCGAGGAUGUAGGAAUUUCGGACGCGGGUUCAACUCCCGCCAGCUCCACCA